CACAUCAUGUUGAAACACUAGUUCCUAUCCAAUCACCAAAGUUAAGCAACAUCAAGCCUGGUCAAUACCUAGAUAGGUGACCACUUGGGAAUAUCAGGUGUUGUAA